UAAGAGGAAGGUUAUAAAAAACUUAUCAAAUUUCAUCAUCUGUCAUAUAUAAGAUUUAAUUAGCUGGAGUUCAACUCAUGAUUUCUCAUGAAAACUUUUUUCUAUUAAUCAUAUCAUCGUGACUACGAUCUUAAGAACUCAACUUCAUAAAUCACAUAUGACUACUCCUUAACUAUUAAAAUCGAUAGAUCUCAUCUAAGUGCACAUCCUACUCCUACAGUGAAUUUACUGUGGCCAAUAUAUAUCGCAAGGACCUAUAUAACUAGGAGACCUAGGGAAUGUGCAAUCAAACUACAGUAAUCUUAUUAUGAAUAACCGAGGCAUCAC
rnacentral:lncRNA from 1 species